AUUGAACGCUGGCGGCAUGCCUUACACAUGCAAGUCGAACGGCAGCACGGGUGCUUGCACCUGGUGGCGAGUGGCGAACGGGUGAGUAAUACAUCGGAACGUACCUUAUCGUGGGGGAUAACGCAGCGAAAGUUGCGCUAAUACCGCAUACGCCCUAAGGGGGAAAGCGGGGGACCGUAAGGCCUCGCGCGAUUAGAGCGGCCGAUGUAUGAUUAGCUUGUUGGUGAGGUAAAAGCGCACCAAGGCAAUGAUCAGUAGCAGGGCUGAGAGGACGAUCAGACACACUGGGAAUGAGGCAGGGCCCAGCCUCCUACUGGAGGCAGGAGUGGUGAAUUUUGCACCAUGGGGGCAAUCCUGCUCCAGCAAUGCCGCGUGAGUGAAGAAGGCCUUCGGGUUGUAAAGCUCUUAUGUCAGGGAAGAAACAGCAGCUCUAACCCAGUCUGCGAAUGACGGUACCUGAAGAAUAAGCACCGGCUAACUACGUGCCAGCCGCCGCCGUAA
rnacentral:rRNA from 1 species